rnacentral:rRNA from 1 species
GACGAACGCUGGCGGCGUGCUUAACACAUGCAAGUCGAACGGAAAGGCCCUGCUUUUGUGGGGUGCUCGAGUGGCGAACGGGUGAGUAACACGUGAGUAACCUGCACUUGACUUUGGGAUAACUUCAGGAAACUGGGGCUAAUACCGGAUAGGAGCUCCUGCUGCAUGGUGGGGGUUGGAAAGUUUCGGCGGUUGGGGAUGGACUCGCGGCUUAUCAGCUUGUUGGUGGGGUAGUGGCUUACCAAGGCUUUGACGGGUAGCCGGCCUGAGAGGGUGACCGGCCACAUUGGGACUGAGAUACGGCCCAGACUCCUACGGGAGGCAGCAGUGGGGAAUAUUGCACAAUGGGCGGAAGCCUGAUGCAGCAGCGCCGCGUGCGGGAUGACGGCCUUCGGGUUGUAAACCGCUUUCGCCUGUGACGAAGCGUGAGUGACGGUAAUGGGUAAAGAAGCACCGGCUAACUACGUG